AUACGGAGGAUGCGAGCGUUAUCCGGAUUUAUUGGGUUUAAAGGGAGCGUAGGUGGGAUAUUAAGUCAGCUGUGAAAGUUUGGGGCUCAACCUUAAAAUUGCAGUUGAUACUGGUUUCCUUGAGUACGGUACAGGUGGGCGGAAUUCGUGGUGUAGCGGUGAAAUGCUUAGAUACCACGAAGAACUCCGAUCGCGAAGGCAGCUCACCGGGCCGGAACUGACACUGAUGCUCGAAAGUGCGGGUAUCAAACAGGAUUAGAUACCCUGGUAGUCCGCACAGUAAACGAUGAAUACUCGCUGUUUGCGAUACACGGUAAGCGGCCAAGCGAAAGCGUUAAGUAUUCCACCUGGGGAGUACGCCGGCAACGGUGAAACUCAAAUGAAUUGACGGGG
rnacentral:rRNA from 1 species